UACGGAGGAUCCAAGCGUUAUCCGGAAUUACUGGGCGUAAAGAGUUGCGUAGGUGGCAUAGUAUGUCGGUAGUGAAAGCGUGUGGCUCAACCAUAUACACAUUAUCGAAACUGCUAAGCUAGAGGACGAGAGAGGUUAUUGGAAUUCCCAGUGUAGGAGUGAGAUCCGUAGAUAUUGGGAGGAACACCGAUGGCGUAGGCAGAUAACUGGCUCGUUCCUGACACUAAGGCACGAAAGCGUGGGGAGCAAACGGG
rnacentral:rRNA from 1 species